rnacentral:rRNA from 1 species
UACGAAGGGGGCUAGCGUUGUUCGGAAUUACUGGGCGUAAAGCGCGCGCAGGCGGCUCUCCAAGUCAGUGGUGAAAGCCCGGAGCUCAACUCCGGAACUGCCAUUGAAACUGUUUAGCUUGAGGACGAGAGAGGUGAGUGGAAUUCCCAGUGUAGAGGUGAAAUGCGUAGAUAUUGGGAAGAACACCAGUGGCGAAGGCGGCGCACUGGCUCGGAUCUGACGCUGAGGCGCGACAGCGUGGGGAGCAAACAGG